AUGAUACUUCUGUGCAGCCUCAGCUUCACGCAAAGGGCGCAGCCACCGGAGAACCCGGCGGGGGUGAAAUUCCCAUGA
rnacentral:ncRNA from 1 species